AGUCGUAACAAGGUAUCCGUAGGUGAACCUGCGGAUGGAUCAUUAACACACACAUACACGUCAUUUUCUAGUUGAAAGUUAGACACGCAAGUGUCCUAGCUUCUCAAUUAGAAAAUACGCCCUAUAGAGAAUUUGUUAAAGUCCUUUAACAAAACAUAACAAACUACAUAACCGUUUUAUCUAAUUAAUAAAAGAAGAACCAAAAAAAAUGACGUGCCUAUGUGCAUUGAAUUUUUUUUUAAUUCUUCCUUUAUAAACAUUAAUAUAAGACACAAUUUUUGACAAUGGAUAUCUUGGCUCGCUG
rnacentral:misc_RNA from 1 species